GGGAGUGACGGGCUUCGACAGAAUACCCUUCUAAAAUACUGCAGGUCGAGUUGCCGAACCUCGUAAAACUUUGGCAAACAAUUUAACUGCUAACCAAAAAUUGGCGUUAGCCUACGCUUAACCGCGUAAGCCAUCGGCGGUCUGAUGUCCUAUCGGGCCAUCACCGGUGUUAUACCUAGGACUCGUCCCGCUUAGAGGGCUACGCCUCUAACGGGAUUAAAUUUCAGCGUGGCAAAAACUUAAACUUGUCGAUGGUAUUUCAGAAAUAUUUUGGAUGCCGGUUCAACUCCGGCCACUUCCACAA
rfam:Parcubacteria (Giovannonibacteria) bacterium GW2011_GWB1_47_6b TY02_C0017, whole genome shotgun sequence.